rnacentral:rRNA from 1 species
AACGAACGCUGGCGGCAUGCCUAACACAUGCAAGUCGAACGAGACCUUCGGGUCUAGUGGCGCACGGCUGCGUAACGCGUGGGAACCUGCCCUUAGGUUCGGAAUAACUCCCCGAAAGGGGUGCUAAUACCGGAUAAUGUCUUCGGACCAAAGAUUUAUCGCCUUUGGAUGGGCCCGCGUUGGAUUAGCUAGUUGGUAGGGUAAAAGCCUACCAAGGCGACGAUGCAUAGCUGGUCUGAGAGGAUGAUCAGCCACGAUGGCACUGCGACACGGCCCAGACUCCUACGGGAGGCAGCAGUGGGGAAUAUUGGACGAUGGGCGAAAGCCUGAUCCAGCAAUGCCGCGUGAGUGAUGAAGGCCUUAGGGUUGUAAAGCUCUUUUACCCGGGAUGAUAAUGACAGUACCGGGAGAAUAAGCUCCGGCUAACUCCGUG